GGGCGUCGCGGCGGAGGAGAGAGAGAGAGAGAACGCCAACCACCUCCUCCCCCCUCCAUCGCCGGGGCCAAUUGUUUUAUCGCGCGGGCCGUUUGAUUUCGAUUUAACCGACGACCCCGGACCGAAUCGAUCGGUAUCGAUGUCGGCGUUGUUAUACGCGUGUUUCGCGCGCGCCGGUCGGCGUUAUUAACUUUUGAGUUUUUUUUUUUUAAUUUUUUUUUUCCCGCCAAUAAUUUUGUCAUUUAUUCGCUCGCUCGAUCUCUCCCGUUUACGGUCUAUAAUAAUAUAUUAUCGUAAUUAUCGUGUCGCGUUAUUUAUCGUCGUUAUCGAUACUGUACUACGUACAAAUGUAUAUUUAUAGAGUUAUUCCCUGUCAAAACAUUACAGACACGACUGUCAUCGAACUGCCGCUGACGAG